rnacentral:rRNA from 1 species
UACGUAGGGGGCAAGCGUUGUCCGGAAUCAUUGGGCGUAAAGCGCGUGUAGGCGGCUAGGUAAGUCUGCUCUGAAAGCCCGGGGCUCAACCCCGGGAGGCGGGUGGAUACUGUCUAGCUCGAGUCCGGAAGAGGAGUGUGGAAUUCCUGGUGUAGAGGUGAAAUUCGUAGAUAUUGGGCGGAACACCGGUGGCGAAGGCGGCGAGCUGGCCCGGACCUGACGCUGAGGCGCGACAGCGUGGGGAGCAAACAGG